rnacentral:rRNA from 1 species
GAUGAACGCUGGCGGCUUGCCUAAUACAUGCAAGUCGAGCGAACGGACGAGAAGCUUGCUUCUCUGAUGUUAGCGGCGGACGGGUGAGUAACACUUGGAUAACCUACCUAUAAGACUGGGAUAACUUCGGGAAACCGGAGCUAAUACCGGAUGAUAUUUUGAACCGCAUGUUUCAAAAUUGAAAGACGGUCUUGCUGUCACUUAUAGAUGGAUCCGCGCUGCAUUAGCUAGUUGGUAAGGUAACGGCUUACCAAGGCAACGAUGCAUAGCCGACCUGAGAGGGUGAUCGGCCACACUGGAACUGAGACACGGUCCAGACUCCUACGGGAGGCAGCAGUAGGGAAUCUUCCGCAAUGGGCGAAAGCCUGACGGAGCAACGCCGCGUGAGUGAUGAAGGUCUUCGGAUCGUAAAACUCUGUUAUUAGGGAAGAACAUAUGUGUAAGUAACUGUGCACAUCUUGACGGUACCUAAUCAGAAAGCCACGGCUAACUACGUG